UAACUCAGAGGAAGUUCCUUCAUAGAAAUAUCUCAAAAUCAAUAUUCAUCGUAAGCUCAACUAAAACUAUAACAUUGAGAAAACGAUAAAUGGAGGGUAGAAAUCUUAUUAUGGGUU
rnacentral:pre_miRNA from 1 species